ACCAUGACCGCCCGCCACUGCUACCCAACCCAACCCGCGGCUUCUCCGGGUGGGGUUUCGAUUUUGGUUUUGGUUGGGAGUACAGACCUAGGAUAUACCUUUUGCUUUGCUACGCGCGCGCAUCCAGGUUGUUGAACGAUAUGCAUUCUGCUCGAUUUAGGAUCUUUGUCGCUUGCCAUGGCUAGCUGGGCAAUAAGAGGUUAACGAUUCAGCUCUAUGUUCGUUCCAAAUUCAGUUUGGGCAGGCAGGCUUUGCUGUUACGUGAUCCCACCAUUAUGUUCUAGUCUAGGAAUCCAUAGCAUUCGCAGUGAAUCCAGUAGAUCGGUAGGCCCUGGAUUGCUGUACGUCAAGAUGCUUAGCGAUUCAGUGCUAAUAAUUCCAUUUAAUUGAGAUUCAGUGCUAGUACUAUUUGUUGAAAACUGUACUCAACUUCCUUGGCAUCAAUGGCAGUAGUGAAAGAAAAUAUUCUAAUUCAUCUUGUUUGUUUAAUGGACAUGAUUUUCUCAUAUCUAAAAUGUCGGUUUUGCAUGGGCCUUGAUUAUUAAGCUACAGGCCCUAUAAGUGAGGUAGCAGUAGCAGUAGCAACCUUCAGUGUCUACUUUCGUUUUUGUUAUCCAAGAGAAUAGCUUCAUAUUUCUAAUUUUGCAUUUCCUUAGCACUUUUAAUGUAUACAAUUGAAGGCGUAUUUUUUGGCUCGUAGUUGGGUUGCCCAAGAUCCAAUGCUCAUGCCUUUUCCAUUCUAUUCUAAUGCAGAGUCUAUACACUUACAGCAUGCAGAUUCUGAGCGGUAUAACAUCUUCUAAGUGACUGGAUUUUGUUACCAUGAAGUCUAAACUGACUGAAAUUUAGAUGUUUCACUCCAUACUAUUCAAAAGAGCCUUUUGAUCUAUGUCUAAACUGAGAAUAUUGGGUUUGCUCAUCAGUAACUGAUAUAUGUCCUUUCACUCCAUUCUUCAAUUGUUUUUCGAAGUCAAAUCCCUUGUGUUUUAUUCUUAUUAUUUUGUGAUGAUUACUUGGUCACCAUUAUGUCUUGUAACUGUUCAAUUUAUUUGAGCAUCGAUAAUUAUGGUAUUUAUUGAUUUAUUGAAACUGUCCCUGUAUUUUCUUUUUUUUUUAAAAAAAAAGAAAAUAUAUUUUAGUUGGCUGUUCAGUUUAUCCCCAAAUUUAACAUUUGUCUUUUACAGAAUUAGCACGGAGCAUGAAAAGUUUGGUUUUGAAGUCGACACAAUCAUGGGUUUGUAAGAAAGAUACGAAAUAAUGAGGAAUUUGUGCCUAAAGUUAGUACUCUUGGCCUUGAUAUGAUGUUCUGGACAUGUACUGUGCAGGUGCCUGAUAUAAACCACCUUCAAGGAAAUGCCUCGUUUGCAUUUGUUCUUGUAAAAGGAUAUCAGUCAGCAAGCACAAAAGUCGAUUGUGGAAGAGUGCACUAGUCAUCUUUUGGUGAGGAGCAGGUUCAAGGGCCAGAACUGGCUUCAGGGGCAUCAAAACUAUGUGCAAGCAUGGGAAGCUAGAGAGAGGGUGGAACAGGAUGAUGGUGCUCGUUGUUUGGUCAGCGAGUUUCGUGAGUUCCUGGCAUGGCUUCACAGGUCCACAAGAAUCAGUGUGCAUCAACCGCUGUCUAGCAUUCCAAUAGACGAAGAAGGGAGCAACGACAAUGACCCCUAUGAUUUGAUGACAAGGACGAGCAUGCAGCCACAGCAAGCGCCCCUUGAGAACUACAUGGCAAGUCAACUUGGUCACCUUUCCAAUGAGGCCGGAGAAAGACUAGUUACAAGUUUUGGACAGAGAUUAAAAACAGAGUUAUUUAACAAUUUUCAAAUUUUAAUUUCAAAUGACAUUUUGAAGCACUAAAUGAUUUCAAAUGAAAAGGUUGUAAACAACAAAGUUUCAUAACAUUUUGAACUCCAUAAGUUUUAUUUUGAUCAUUUCUCCAUUUGAGAUCGUUUGAAAGUUUUAAAAUAAUUUUAAAUGCUUAAUUUGUAUUAUUUGGUGUCUAUUUAUUGUGCCGCCCCUAUAAUAUGCGCGGCUGGAUUAGAGCAGCCCCAAUAAAUCAAGCUAUUUAUAGGGACAGCUGGUUUGACCACUAUUAAAAAAAGAGAAUGUUGCUACAAAAAAAGUUUGUAACAGUUGAUUAAAUAGCUUUUAUUUAGACUA